CCCAGACCCAGCAAAGUGUGUUUGAAAGGCAAAUUCCAGGCUCCUUUGGAAGAAUGACAAUGCUACAGAAAAGCACAUGGAUUUGCAGCUUCGUGGACAUCACCUGUGAGGGUGACAGCUCUUUACUCUCAAUGGAGGAAAGUGAAGCCAGGCUUACUGAGGAAAAAAAACAACCCUCAGAAAUCAAAAUCAGACAGCUAUACCCGGUCUGGCUGCCCCAGAGCGGGAAGACCUGAACCUUGGCAGGGCUGGCUGCUGUGCUGACCAGUCUGAUAUCAAGAAGAGAAGUGAUUUUCCGAUCCUGCAUCCGGUACAGCUGUGCGGACUCUGCUCUUCCUGCCAUUCCACCAAG
rnacentral:lncRNA from 1 species